rnacentral:rRNA from 1 species
ACUCCUACGGGAGGCAGCAGUGGGGAAUAUUGCGCAAUGGGGGAAACCCUGACGCAGCAACGCCGCGUGAGUGAUGAAGGCCUUUGGGUCGUAAAGCUCUGUUAGGUGGGAAGAAGUGUAGUGUAAUAAAUAGUUACAUUAUUUGACGGUACCACCAGAGGAAGCCCCGGCUAACUCCGUGCCAGCAGCCGCGGUAAUACGGAGGGUGCUAGCGUUGUUCGGAAUUACUGGGCGUAAAGCGGGUGUAGGCGGUUUGUUAAGUCAGAUGUGAAAGCCCACGGCUCAACCGUGGAAGUGCAUCUGAAACUGGCAGACUUGAGUACCGGAGAGGGAAGUGGAAUUCCUGGUGUAGGGGUGAAAUCCGUAGAUAUCAGGAGGAACACCGGUGGCGAAGGCGACUUCCUGGACGGAUACUGACGCUGAGAUCCGAAAGCGUGGGGAGCAAACAGGAUUAGAUACCCUGGUAGUCCACGCCCUAAACGAUGGGCACUAGGUGUAGCGGGUGUUGACCCCUCCUGUGCCGCAGCUAACGCAUUAAGUGCCCCGCCUGGGGAGUACGGCCGCAAGGUUAAAACUCAAAUGAAUUGACGG